rnacentral:lncRNA from 1 species
AGAACUAUUGCUCCGUGGUAUUACAAGUUAGGAACCAACACUCACAAACUUUUAGUUCAGGAACGAAAACUUCAAUUGAGCUAAAGUUAAGAGACUAUUGCUUCAAAUAUCACACAAAAUCACAUCCAUAUGGAAAACUGAGUUAGGCCAAUGAUUCAUUUUACUCCAUUAUAAACAAAACAAAACAAAAAAAGGUUAUGAGGAAAUGAGGUUUGUAUAGAAAUGGUGACACAUCACGCAUACCAAACGUACUUUGCCUUCUCUUUGCCUACCCCUUUCUAAACGUAGACAAUGCAAUCAAAACUAGACAAACAAACUACAAAAUUAGCAACUCAAUCAUACAUUAAAUCUUUUCUACAACAAUAUCAACAGCUUGGUAAGACUCAAGAAACCCAGAUCAAACGUCGCGUUCCGGAUUGAAACUCUGUAACUUAGAUUAGUAAUAUCGCUUUGUAAUAUAUUAAAAAACCCAGAACAAUAGUCGUGCACAAAUCCUAAUGAGGGUUACAUAAAAACAAGAUUCUCAUAAUUUUUUUUUUUUUUUUUGGUUUAUAAAUGAGAAAAUUAAAAAAGUAAUUCUCAUCAAACACCAUGCUUGUUAUCGUACAACAAAAAUAAAAGGAGAAAAUUUAGAAUUUUAGAAGUGAAAAAAUCGAAUCAUCGAUCAUCAUGCUUCAUCAAACGAUCAACGGCAUUAAAAUAACAACGAACAAUCAGAGGCAUAGAGC